GACGAACGCUGGCGGCGUGCUUAACACGUGCCAGUCGAACGGAAAGGCCCUGCUUUUGUGGGGUGCUCGAGUGGCGAACGGGUGAGUAACACGUGAGUAACCUGCCCUUGACUUUGGGAUAACUUCAGGAAACUGGGACUAAUACCGGAUAGGAGCUCCUGCUGCAUGGUGGGGGUUGGAAAGUUUCGGCGGUUGGGGAUGGACUCGCGGCUUAUCAGCUUGUUGGUGGGGUAGUGGCUUACCAAGGCUUUGACGGGUAGCCGGCCUGAGAGGGUGACCGGCAACAUUGGGAAGGAGAUCGGCCCCAGACUCCGAGGGGAGGCAGAGGGGGGGAAUAUUGCACAAGGGGCGGAGGCCUGAUGCAGCAACGCCGGGGGCGGGAUGACGGCUUUCGGGUUGAAACCCGCUUUCGCCGGUGACGAAGGGGGGGUGAGGGUAAGGGAUAAAGAAGCCCCGGCAAACUACGUC
rnacentral:rRNA from 1 species